GGGUAGUUUGACUGGGGCGGUCUCCUCCUAAAGAGUAACGGAGGAGCACGAAGGUUGGCUAAUCCUGGUCGGACAUCAGGAGGUUAGUGCAAUGGCAUAAGCCAGCUUGACUGCGAGCGUGACGGCGCGAGCAGGUGCGAAAGCAGGUCAUAGUGAUCCGGUGGUUCUGAAUGGAAGGGCCAUCGCUCAACGGAUAAAAGGUACUCCGGGGAUAACAGGCUGAUACCGCCCAAGAGUUCAUAUCGACGGCGGUGUUUGGCACCUCGAUGUCGGCUCAUCACAUCCUGGGGCUGAAGUAGGUCCCAAGGGUAUGGCUGUUCGCCAUUUAAAGUGGUACGCGAGCUGGGUUUAGAACGUCGUGAGACAGUUCGGUCCCUAUCUGCCGUGGGCGCUGGAGAACUGAGGGGGGCUGCUCCUAGUACGAGAGGACCGGAGUGGACGCAUCACUGGUGUUCGGGUUGUCAUGCCAAUGGCACUGCCCGGUAGCUAAAUGCGGAAGAGAUAAGUGCUGAAAGCAUCUAAGCACGAAACUUGCCCCGAGAUGAGUUCUCCCUGAGACUUUAGGUCUCCUGAAGGAACGUUGAAGACGACGACGUUGAUAGGCCGGGUGUGUAAGCGCAGCGAUGCGUUGAGCUAACCGGUACUAAUGAACCGUGAGGCUUAACCUUACAACGCCGAAG
rnacentral:rRNA from 2 species